UUUAUUUUUCCAUGUUCAACGUUUGAUCAUUCGUCUUAUUUGAAAUUUUUUUACGAUUAAUAUUUUUAUUAUUACUAGAUGAUAAAAUAUAAAUAGUAUUUUAUACGUGACUAUUUUUUUAAAGUUUUUUACAAUUUUUUUAAAUAAGACGAAUGAUCAAACGUUGGACCAGAGAAAACGAAAAAUGAGGUUAUU
rfam:Oryza brachyantha chromosome 4, whole genome shotgun sequence.